UACGGGGGGGGGUAAGCGUUGUUCGGAAUUACUGGGCGUAAAGGGCUCGUAGGCGGCCAACUAAGUCAGACGUGAAAUCCCUCAGCUUAACUGGGGAACUGCGUCUGAUACUGGAUGGCUUGGAUUCGGGAGAGGAAUGCGGAAUUCCAGGUGUAGCGGUGAAAUGCGUAGAUAUCUGGAGGAACACCGGUGGCGAAGGCGGGUCUCUGGGCAACAACUGACGCUGAGGAGCGAAAGCGUGGGGAGCGAACAGG
rnacentral:rRNA from 1 species